UACCAGCACCCCGAGUGGUCGGGGCGAUUAUUGGGCCUAAAGCGUCCGUAGCCGGUUCUACAAGUCUUCCGUUAAAUCCACCUGCUCAACAGAUGGGCUGCGGAGGAUACUAUAGAGCUAGGAGGCGGGAGAGGCAAGCGGUACUUAGUGGGUAGGGGUAAAAUCCGUUGAUCCAUUGAAGACCACCAGUGGCGAAGGCGGCUUGCCAGAACGCACUCGACGGUGAGGGAUGAAAGCUGGGGGAGCAAACCGG
rnacentral:rRNA from 1 species